UGUGAAGGGGAGCUGCGAGAUCCUGAGUUCCCUGGGCCGGGCCACCACCAAGCCAGAUCUUCUGGCGCCAGUGGAGAAAGGACACCAGGCAGGCAGCUGCAGCCUGCCCAGUGCGGAGACGGGCCAAAGCCCGGGCCCUGGUGAGUCCUGGGGUGUGGGCAGACCUGGACCUCUCUACAUGCAUCUGGUAAGGGCAUCUGGUGUCAGGAGGCCCCCCUGGCGAAACAGAGGCAGAGAUGGGGGGAAGUGAACUGCUGGGCCUCACAGCUGGCGGUCAGGGCCACACCCGGGUAUUCUGACACCCAGAGGACCUGGGCCAUUUCCCACAUUCCAUGUCCCUUUGGAGCCGUCGCUUGGCCUGAGACCGCUCUGGAGGCUUGAGGGGAAGGGCAGAGGGCAUAGCAGAUACCAGGGAACCUGAGGCACGCUGUCGUGGUGCGUGCAGGGUCCCGGGAGGAGCAACAGGCUGGCGG
rnacentral:lncRNA from 1 species